rnacentral:rRNA from 1 species
GACGAACGCUGGCGGCGUGCUUAACACAUGCAAGUCGAACGGAAAGGCCCUGCUUUUGUGGGGUGCUCGAGUGGCGAACGGGUGAGUAACACGUGAGUAACCUGCCCUUGACUUUGGGAUAACUUCAGGAAACUGGGGCUAAUACCUGAUAGGAGCUCCUGCUGCAUGGUGGGGGUUGGAAAGUUUCGGCGGUUGGGGAUGGACUCGCGGCUUAUCAGCUUGUUGGUGGGGUAGUGGCUUACCAAGGCUUUGACGGGUAGCCGGCCUGAGAGGGUGACCGGCCACAAUGGGACUGAGAUACGGCCCAGACUCCUACGGGAGGCAGCAGUGGGGAAUAUUGCACAAUGGGCGGAAGCCUGAUGCAGCAACGCCGCGUGCGGGAUGACGGCCUUCGGGUUGUAAACCGCUUUCGCCUGUGACGAAGCGUGAGUGACGGUAAUGGGUAAAGAAGCACCGGCUAACUACGUG